GUUAGAGGGAAUUGUUUUACCCGCUCUUUCACGAUUGUAAAUUAAAAAUUGGUUUUUCCAUGGUGGCAGGUUUUCCAGUACAAUGGUGGUAGUGGUUGGCUUCUGAUUAGUUGAAGACAAUGAAGAUAAAUUACUUCAAUGAGUUAUUUUGUCGAAAAAACCCAAAUAAAGUGAUGGAAUUGAAGAAGUAGGUGGUUGAAGAAAAAAUGACACUUUGAAAUUAGCUUUCAUUCGCAAGCUCUUUUGAAACGGUGAUACUCUCAAACACGAAAGCCGUCAACGAAGAGUUGGUGUCGUUAGGGGAUUCAGGUGGUCGCAGAAGUUGGAUCUUCGCUUCAUUCAUGGAUAGUCUUCCCCGACAUCAAAAGAAAAUCGACUCUUGGAGGCAUUUGGUAAUGGUAAAAUGGUUAGGCAUUUGUAACAUUAUCUGCCAUCUUUCAAGGAGUGAUCUUUUAUAGUAUUAAAUUGACUGCUGAGAAACUGAUUCUUGCACACAGAAAAACCUUUGAACUACUAGCAACUUCUAUAAGUAAGAUCAGGUGAUGGUCAUGAUCUACGAAUUACUAAUGCCUUCUCCUUUGGAUACAUAGGUUUAAUGAAAGUAAUGCACUAACCAAUAAGAACAAUUCAAUAAGGAGGAAACAAGGAACUAGAAUAGAGAGAACAAGGAACGCGAAACAGGAGUUUAGUUAUCCACAAGUGGCAAGAGCAUAUAAUUACGACUAUUAGGUCUAGAAUUUCACGUUUGGAUUGGUAUGUUUAGAAGUACAAGAGACCAAGCACCCGUCCUAUAAUCUGUAGCCGAAGAUGUUUACAUUUUACCGAUUCCAUAUGACCAAAGAUGUUGUGAACUAGGUAAUAAAUUUUACGGGGAACUCCCUUGGUCGGAAAAAAUUCAGUGCAGACACAAAACCGGAAAUGAAGAAACUAAUAGAAAAGGCGCAAUCAAAUUUUAUUUCUCUUUUUGUGGUAGAGUUCUUAUAUAUCGGAAAUUGGCAAAGAAGAUGAUGAAGACAAUGACUUAAGAUUCACUCAGGUUGUUCCCAAAAAUUAUCAAAGUAAAUGGUGAACGAACGAUGUAGACACUGGGCAUUAGGAUUCCUACUGCUAAGAUUGCUUUGAAGAGGGAAUGGAUAUACAAACUUCAAGGCAUCCAAACUAAAAUCUAUUUCACAAGAAUACAUCCUCUGAGAUAAUAUAUCUGCAAUAAUUGUAUGUUGAUCAUGGCAUUCCGAUUACUCAUCUACAUAUAAUAAAUAUCCGGACGGAAACUCGGAAACAUCUCACUGGAAUGCCGCAGCGCAUAAUAGCAGUUUGGAUAGAUUAAGUUUGAGAAAUGGCAUAAAGUCGAACUAAGCUGCAUAAUAAAAUGAGAUUCGCCUCAUCAUACAACUCGGUAAUGCCGGUGCAUAUGCACCGGGUUAGGAGCUUGUUUCUUAUAAUACUGAAUUCAUUCACCUUUUUUAUUUUGAUAUUUUGGUUGGAAGUAUCUUGCCAUUUCAUCAUCCCCAUUUAAAAGUUUCCAAAACAACUUUAUAAGCAGAGCUUUGUUUAGAAUUUCUAAUCUUCUCAGACCUAGUUCACCUUCUUCAAAUGGAGAGCACACACAAUCCCAUUUCAAAGUAAUCGUUUUUCUAGAAGAGGGAUCACCAGUCCAAAGAAAGUUUCUGAUAAUCCUUUCACACUCCUUAAUGACUUUCUUGGGCCAUUUGUACACAACCAUACUAUAAAUGGGAUAACUGCAUAAUACAAAUUUUAUCAGAAUCAGUCUUUCGUGAAAAGAUAGUAGUAU